rnacentral:rRNA from 1 species
GGACUACACGGGUAUCUAAUCCCGUUUGCUCCCCUAGCUUUCGCGCCUCAGCGUCAGAAGAGAUCCAGUGCGCCGCUUUCGCCUCCGGCGUUCCUUCCAAUAUCAACGCAUUUCACCGCUCCACUGGAAGUUCCGCACACCCCUAUCUCCCUCGAGACCAACAGUAUCGAAGGCACUUCUGCAGUUAAGCUGCAGGAUUUCACCCCCGACUUGUUGGACCGCCUACGCGCCCUUUAAGCCCAGUGAUUCCGAACAACGUUAGGACAGUUCGUCUUACCGCGGCGGCUGGCAC